rnacentral:ncRNA from 1 species
CUUUACACACGCGGGAGCUCGGAGCACCGGGCUGAGAGGGCGCUGACUGUGGAGUUCCGGGGCUUCCCCGGAUCCCUGAGCUGCGUCGACCGCCGAACCUGUUACCGGGUAAUGCCGGCGUAGGGAGUAGGUCUCCAUGACCG